rnacentral:lncRNA from 1 species
CUUAGUUACACUAUAGACUUUUUGUCACGAAAUAUAAUUGUUGUAUGAAUGUUGAUUUUUGUUCGUAGCUAUGUUGAUUUUUGUUUGUAGUGUGACGUGAAGCCAGUCACGUCAUAAACAUUCUUAAUUUAAGACAUUGUGUAAUUAUGCUAACUCAUGUUUUGCUAUAUUUAUCGUCUUAUGAAAUUAUCUAAAAAUAGUAUGACGUAAUGUUUUAUUAAUAUCUAUCGGACAGUAUAUAAGCAGCGAAAGCUUAAGAUAGUUUAGAAUUAAAAGUUUAGAGAUAAUUGUCGUUGUUGUUAAAGAAGAAGAGUUUGAUAUUGUGAAGUUAUUGUCGUCGUGAAGACUUAAAGGAAAGGAAAUAUAUUAUAAAGUGUGAAAGGACAAAGUCUGAAAAGCAAAGCUGUGUCAUUGUCAAUAGACAGAUCAGUUUAAACUAUCCUGAUUCUUCGUUCUUCUAGUUUUCUUUUAUUAAUAAACAAUAUAAAAAUAUAAGACUCUUCUGUUUUUAAGUCUUUCUUGUUACGGUGAACGUAACAGUAGUUCGUAACAAAACGCUUAAUGUCUGUUCCCUCGUUAUAUAGUUAGUUUUGUUUUCCCUCGAAUCUCAAUGUUUCGCUCGACUCUCGGGAAAACAAAACAAACUAUUUCCCUCGGGAGUAGACAUUAAAGAGUGAUAUAAUUUCUUUCUAAUUUCUGAGUAUUAGUAAAAUUGUUAUUGUUGCUGUUGUUGUUGUUGUUGUUGUUGUUGUUGUUGUUGUUGUUGUUGUUGUUGUUGUUGUUGUUGUUGUUGUUGUUGUUGUUGUUGUUGUUGUUGGUGUUGUUGUUGCAUCUUGUAACUUAAGUCCAAAACGCACUACUGUACGUUUGUAAUACUAUUGCAUUUAUCGCUUUGACUAAGCUUGGAAUUUUAAAGGUAUAUCUAACCUACAUCUAUUUGCAAUAUUGUCAAAAGUUACUUCCAAAUUUCCUAGUGUCACGAACUAUCAUUCUCAAAAUACAUCUUUCCGGAAUUUAAAUCCACAGGUGCAUGAAAACGGCAUUAUUUUUUUGUAGCAGUGGGACUGUUUUUAAAUAUUGUCAACAAAAUAUAUACAUUUUGUUCACGGCAAACGUCGUCGUAUUUUGAGGUCAACUGUUAGCUGUCGAAGUUAGGGCAACUUGUGCAAUAAAAUUAAAGCAUAAAUGAGAUACUUAGCCGUCGAAAACUUGCAGAACUUCACGAAAAUGCGAUUUGAAGUUUGUUGUUUGCUGUCUCUCGUAAACGUCGAUCUUCAAGUUUCUGUUAUCGAUUCGUGAACACAAAUCAGCCAAUCACGUUUAGCGUUGAACAUAACAAAUCAUGAAGUAGCAACUACCCCUGACAAGUCCGCAUAAACAUUUUAUGUUAAAAAGUAAAGCUAUAGUAGUAACCUAACAGCAACACAAUACUCUUUAAAAUGCAAAAAUAGUAGAAAUUCACUUAAUUUAGUCAUGAGUGGCCAUGUGAUCUUCAAGUUCUCUGGGAACAACAAACAUAACAUCACACACGCAACAAACGUAUCCAACACCAGUUGGUCCUGUUGAUCCAAGUUCUUGACAUAAACCACAUUGAUAGUUUCCAUCAUUACCAUGUUGCCUGGCAAUAUGUUGUACCAAUUUCAUGAAAUUAAUACAUCGUUUGUCACAUUUACUGCAGCUACAUUUUCCAUCGUGUUCAAACACGAAAAAAUGUUCAUUCAAAUCUUGCGGUUGAACAAUCUCUCUGCUGCAAGUGUUGCACAACAAAUGUUGCUUUUUGUGGUGGGUAAGAGAGGAUUUUCUUUGCAAAUCUUUCCUUGCAAACGUCACAUUCGUAAGGCACUUCUUCAGUGUGUCUUCUUCUAUGUCGCAUCAAGCUACCAGACUGUGUAAAUCUCUUCUUACAAACUUCACAUUCAUAAGGUUUGUCUCCAGCGUGCAUUCUUUUGUGAUUCACCAAGCUGUUUGGGUUUUUUAAUCGCUUCUUACAAACAUCGCAUUCAAAAGGUUUGUCUCUGGUGUGAGUUCUUUUGUGUAUUGCUAAAGUUCCUGAUUGUGCAAAUCUAACAUUGCAAAUAUCACAUUCAUAAGGUUUCUCGCCUGUGUGCGUUCUUCUAUGGUUCGCCAAGUUGCCACACUGCGUAAAUCUCUUCUUACAAACAUCACAUUCAUAAGGUCUGUAUCCAGUGUGUGUUCUUUUGUGUUUCGCAAAAUCGCUUGAGUGUGCAAAUCUCUUCUUACAAACAUCACAUUCAUAAGGUUUAUCGCCAGUAUGUGUUCUUUUAUGUAUGGCUAAAUAACUUGACCGUGUAAAUCUCUUCUUACAAACAUCACAUUGAUAAGGUUUGUCCCCACUGUGUGUUCUUUUAUGUCGGGCCAAGUUGCCUGAUUGUGUAUAUCUCUUCUCACAAACAUCGCAUUCAUAAGGUUUGUCUCCAGUGUGCGUUCUUCUGUGGAUGACCAAGCUGUUUGAGUGUGUAUAUUUCUUCUCACAAACAUCGCAUUCAUAAGGUUUGUCUCCAGUGUGCGUUCUUCUGUGGACGAUCAAUCUGCCUGAGUGUGUAAAUCUCUUCUUACAAACAUCACAUUCAUAAGGUUUGUCUCCAGUGUGCAAUCUUCUAUGUCUCACCAAGCCUACUGAUUGUGUAAAUCUCUUCUCACAAACGUCGCAUUCAUAAGGUUUCUCUCCAGUGUGCGUUCUUCUGUGGAUGACCAAGCUGCCUGAGUGUGUAUAUCUCUUCUUACAAACAUCACAUUCAUAAGGUUUGUCUCCAGUGUGCAGUCUUCUAUGUCUCACCAAGCUGCCUAAGUGUGUAUAUCUCUUCUCACAAACAUCGCAUUCAUAAGGUUUGUCUCCAGUGUGCGUUCUUCUGUGGAUGACCAAGCUGCCUGAGUGUGCGAAUCUCUUCUUACAAACAUCACAUUCAUAAGGUUUGUCUCCAGUAUGCGUUCUUGUAUGGAUGACCAAACUGGCUAAGCGUAUAUAUCUCUUCUUACAAACAUCACAUUCAAAAGGUUUGUUUCCUGAGUGUGCUCUUUUGUGUUUUACUAAGCUCUCUGAUGUCUUUCCACGAUGACCAGACAUGGUUUAAUCCAGUUUGUGAGCUUGGUUGAGCAAUCUAUAACUAC